rfam:Schistosoma haematobium scaffold32_15, whole genome shotgun sequence.
AUCCAGCUGACGAGUUCGAAAUUGGACGAAACGUGUUUCUUAGAU